rnacentral:rRNA from 1 species
UUUACUAAUGAAGCGGUUAGUGGCGGACUGGUGAGUAACACGUAAGCAACCUGCCUAUUAGAGGGGAACAACAGUUAGAAAUGACUGCUAAUACCGCAUAUGCCAUAAGUAUCGCAUGAUACAAGUGGGAAAGGAGCAAUCCGCUAAUAGAUGGGCUUGCGUCUGAUUAGAUAGUUGGUGGGGUAACGGCCUACCAAGUCGACGAUCAGUAGCCGAGUUGAGAGACUCUACGGCCACAUUGGGACUGAGAUACGGCCCAGACUCC